GAUGAACGCUGGCGGCGUGCCUAAUACACGCAAGUCGAGCGAACGGACGAGAAGCUUGCUUCUCUGAUGUUAGCGGCGGACGGGUGAGUAACACGUGGAUAACCUACCUAUAAGACUGGGAUAACUUCGGGAAACCGGAGCUAAUACCGGAUAAUAUUUUGAACCGCAUGGUUCAAAAGUGAAUGACGGUCUUGCUGUCACUUAUAGAUGGAUCCGCGCUGCAUUAGCUAGUUGGUAAGGUAACGGCUUACCAAGGCAACGAUGCAUAGCCGACCUGAGAGGGUGAUCGGCCACACUGGAACUGAGACACGGUCCAGACUCCUACGGGAGGCAGCAGUAGGGAAUCUUCCGCAAUGGGCGAAAGCCUGACGGAGCAACGCCGCGUGAGUGAUGAAGGUCUUCGGAUCGUAAAACUCUGUUAUUAGGGAAGAACAUAUGUGUAAGUAACUGUGCACAUCUUGACGGUACCUAAUCAGAAAGCCACGGCUAACUACGUGCCAGCAGCCGCGGUAAUACGUAGGCGGCAAGCGUUAUCCGGAAUUAUUGGGCGUAAAGCGCGCGUAGGCGGUUUUUUAAGUCUGAUGUGAAAGCCCACGGCUCAACCGUGGAGGGUCAUUGGAAACUGGAAAACUUGAGUGCAGAAGAGGAAAGUGGAAUUCCAUGUGUAGCGGUGAAAUGCGCAGAGAUAUGGAGGAACACCAGUGGCGAAGGCGACUUUCUGGUCUGUAACUGACGCUGAUGUGCGAAAGCGUGGGGAUCAAACAGGAUUAGAUACCCUGGUAGUCCACGCCGUAAACGAUGAGUGCUAAGUGUUAGGGGGUUUCCGCCCCUUAGUGCUGCAGCUAACGCAUUAAGCACUCCGCCUGGGGAGUACGACCGCAAGGUUGAAACUCAAAGGAAUUGACGGGGACCCGCACAAGCGGUGGAGCAUGUGGUUUAAUUCGAAGCAACGCGAAGAACCUUACCAAAUCUUGACAUCCUUUGACAACUCUAGAGAUAGAGCCUUCCCCUUCGGGGGACAAAGUGACAGGUGGUGCAUGGUUGUCGUCAGCUCGUGUCGUGAGAUGUUGGGUUAAGUCCCGCAACGAGCGCAACCCUUAAGCUUAGUUGCCAUCAUUAAGUUGGGCACUCUAAGUUGACUGCCGGUGACAAACCGGAGGAAGGUGGGGAUGACGUCAAAUCAUCAUGCCCCUUAUGAUUUGGGCUACACACGUGCUACAAUGGACAAUACAAAGGGCAGCGAAACCGCGAGGUCAAGCAAAUCCCAUAAAGUUGUUCUCAGUUCGGAUUGUAGUCUGCAACUCGACUACAUGAAGCUGGAAUCGCUAGUAAUCGUAGAUCAGCAUGCUACGGUGAAUACGUUCCCGGGUCU
rnacentral:rRNA from 1 species